UACGUAGGGUGCAAGCGUUAUCCGGAAUUAUUGGGCGUAAAGAGCUCGUAGGCGGUUUGUCGCGUCUGCUGUGAAAACUGGAGGCUCAACCUCCAGCCUGCAGUGGGUACGGGCAGACUAGAGUGCGGUAGGGGAGAUUGGAAUUCCUGGUGUAGCGGUGGAAUGCGCAGAUAUCAGGAGGAACACCAAUAGCGAAGGCAGCUCGCUGGGACGGUACUGACGCUAAGGCGCGAAAAGCGUGGGGAGCGAACGAGG
rnacentral:rRNA from 1 species